UGAGACUAGCAUAUCAAUAAGCGGAGGAAAAGAAACCAACAGGGAUUGCCCCAGUAACGGCGAGUGAAGCGGCAGCAGCUCAAAUUUGAAAGCCGGCCCCCGGGCCCGCGUUGUAAUUUGCAGAGGACGCUUCUGGCCCGGCCCCCUCCGAGUGCCCUGGAACGGGCCGCCGCAGAGGGUGAGAGCCCCGUACGGUCGGGCGCCGGCGCCAGUGCGAAGCUCCUUCGACGAGUCGAGUAGUUUGGGAAUGCUGCUCAAAACGGGAGGUAAAUUCCUUCUAAGGCUAAAUACCGGCUGGAGACCGAUAGCGCACAAGUAGAGUGAUCGAAAGAUGAAAAGCACUUUGGAAAGAGGGUUAAACAGCACGUGAAAUUGUUGAAAGGGAAGCGCCCGCAGCCAGACGCGGGCCGGCCCGAUCACCCGGCGCCCGCGCCGGUGCACUCGGGCCGGCCCGGGCCAGCGUCGGCUCCCGCGGCGGGACAAAGGCCCCGGGAACGUAGCUCCCCGCGGGGAGUGUUACAGCCCGGGGCGCAGCGCCGCCGCGGGGGCCGAGGUCCGCGCUCCGCAAGGACGCUGGCGUAAUGGCGGCCGGCGGCCCGUCUUGAAACACGGACCAAGGAGUCGAGGUUCUGCGCGAGUGUACGGGUGCCAAACCCGCACGCGCAAUGAAAGUGAACGCCGGUGGGAGCCUCGGCGCACCACCGACCGGUCCUGAUGUCCUCGGAUGGAUCUGAGUAGGAGCGCAGCGCCUCGGACCCGAAAGAUGGUGAACUAUGCCUGGGUAGGGUGAAGCCAGAGGAAACUCUGGUGGAGGCUCGCAGCGGUUCUGACGUGCAAAUCGAUCGUCGAACCUGGGCAUGGGGGCGAAAGACUAAUCGAACCAUCUAGUAGCUGGUUACCGCC
rnacentral:rRNA from 1 species